AUGGCAGCCCUGGAGGAAGUAUUCAUGUUGUCUUCUGUAGUUCUGGGCGCCGGGCCUGGUGGAGUCCUAGGCGUGGAGCACAGCUACAAAACAGACCAGUUUCUAGUGACCGACAGCAGCAGGGCCGUCAUUCUUUAUAAGAAAACCUUGGGGAGUUGGUCAGUGAAGCAAGGUCAAAUUAUAACAUGUCCAGCUGUGUGCAGCUUUCAUACUGGAGAGUAUAUUGUUGUACGUGAUAAUAAGGUUUUGAGAAUGUGGAACAGUGAAGAUGUAAACCUGGAUAAAGUAUUUAAAGCUAUAUAGUGGACGAAGAUUUUCAUUGUAUUUAGGCAUCCUGUUUUAAUUUUCAUUACUGAAAAAGUAAGUGAUAUCUUCAAUUCCUAGCCCAUUUUGUGAAAUUUCAAAAUCACUCAUGUUAUUUUUAAAACUAAAGUGUGUCUUUUGUCUUUCUCUUAGAUUUUUAAAUGUUUUUAUCUUUUUUAGAUAUUAAAAAGUCUAUUAGUCACUAUUUAUAAUAUUUUACACUUAAUUGGACAAGAGGUUUUUAAAUACUCAUUUAUGUAAUUACAAUGGGAUAACAACGUCUAAUUUUAAUAUUUAAAUAUAGGUGGUUGGGCCGGGCGCAGUGGCUCACGCCUGUAAUCCUAGCACUCUGGGAGGUAGAGGUGAGCCGAUCCUUUGAACUCAGGAGUUCGAGACCAGCCUGAGCAAGUGCCAGACCCCUGUCUCUACCAAAAAUAGAAAAAAUUAGCCAGGCGUGGUGGCGCCUGCCUGUAGUCUCACCUACCAGCAACCUCAAACUCCUGGGCUCAAGCAAUCCUACUUCUUCAGCCUCCCAAGUGGCUGGGACUACAGGCAUGUGCCACCAUGCCUGGCUAAGUUUUUCUAUAUAUAUUAGUUGGCCAAUUAAUUUCUUUCUAUUUAUAGUAGAGACAGGGUCUCCCUCUUGCUCUGGCUGGUUGCAAACUCCUGACCUCAAGCAAUCCGCCCGCCUCGGUCUCUCAGAGUGCUAGGAUUACAGGCGUGAGCCACCGCGCUCGGCCACAGAAAUGUUCUUUCUAUAUACAAACUUAUCUUUCAUUUUAUUUUUUCUAACACAAAUAAGAUCAUAGUAUGUGAGCUAGUCUGCCAUUUUUUUUUCACUCAUGAUGUUUUAGACAUUUCCUAGACCAGUACACAUACAUCUACCUAUUCCUUAACCAGUGCAUACUAUUUCAUUUUACAGAUGUAUCUUAAUUUAUUUACUAGUGUUUUAUCGAUAGACAUUUAAGCUAUUUACAGUUUUUUACUAUUGUAAACAAACCUUCAGUGAGUAUCUUUAUCUUUAUAUCCUUUAUAUCUUUAUAUAUCUAUAUCUUUAUAUCCUUGCAUAUUUAUGAGAGAACACCUGUUGGAUAAAUUUGCACAAGUGGAAUUACUAGAUAAAAAGGUGCAUGUAUUUUUAGCUUUCAGAAUGCCAGAUUACCUUCUGAAAAGUUGUGACAGCCACCACCACUACUGCCACCAAGAUCUGAGGCCUUAGAUUUCACAUUCUUACUGACACUAGUUUUGUCAAAGUUUUGACUUUUUGCCAAUCAGAUAGGUAGCAAAUGUUAACCUUAUUUUAAUUUGCAUUUCUUUGUUAAUGAGAGAGGUAAACCAUCUUACCCAUUUCUGUUUCUUUUUGUGAACCUGCCUGAUCAAGUUGUUUGUCCAUAUUUUUAUUACAUUUGCUAUCUUUUUCUUUUUGUCUUAUAAAGAAUUCUUUCUAUAUUAAGGAAAUUAGCCUUUUUCUAUUGUAAGUACUUCUUUCCUAUAAUUUGUCUUUUUACUCAUUUUAGUAUAAUUUUUUGAUAUAGACAAGUUUUUCAUAUUUUUUUUUUUUUUUGAGACAGAGUCUCGCUUUGUUGCCCAGGCUAGAGUCAGUGCCGUGGCGUCAGCCUAGUUCACAGCAACCUCAAACUCCUGGGCUCAAGCAAUCCUUCUGCCUCAGCCUCCUGAGUAGCUCGGACUACAGGCAUGCGCCACCAUGCCUGGCUAAUUUUAUAUAUUUAUAUUAGUUGGCUAAUUAAUUUCUUUCUAUUUAUAGUAGAGACGGGGUCUCGCUCUUGUUCAGGCUGGUUUCGAACUCCUGACCUCCAGCAAUCCGCCCGCCUCAGCCUCCCAGAGUGCUAGGAUUACAGGCGUGAGCCACCGUGCCCCGCCAAGUUUUUCAUAUUUAUGCUAUUAAAAUGUAUUAAGCUUUUCAUUUAUGGCUUCUUUACGGCUUAAGUCAUGCUUAAGGCUCUUCUCUUAAAAUUCUCAAAAUAAUCACCGUUUUCCCUUCGUACAUCAGUGGUUUCAUUUUGUGUCUUUAACUCUUUAGUACAUAUUAUUUUGGUAUAAGGAGUUCCAUAGGGAUCAGCUCUACCUCCAAAAAUUGAUGACCAGUUUCCUUAAUGCUUUUUUUUUUCUUCUUAUAUUUUUUCUUUUUUUUAUAGCUAGACAUGUGAUAGAACCAUUGAAUCCUUAAUGCUUUUUCAUGACAGUGAUAUUUGCAUGUUAACCACACCAUCUGAAGAUAUAAAACUGCAUAGGAAACUUUUAUAAAUGUAUAGUGAUGAUUUUUAGUUUAUGGUAGCUUGUCUAUAAUAUACAAUACUCUAUCCUUGUGGCACAGUGUAUCUUGCAGAAUAGAAAAUGAACGGGUUCUCUUUUUGUAAGUGAAAAUAAUUAUCAAAACACAAUUUUGAAAAGACAAGUAUUACUCUUCUUUGGAUUAAAUGUCACUUUGGCUUUACUAUUACUGAUUAACACUAUGAAAAAGGUCUAAUUAUGCUUGUAAAAUAACAAGUAUAAAAGCCAGAAAAGAGCCUUUUUAUAAUUCUUAGAAAUUCUUCUAUCUCUAAACUAACUUGUUUAGAUUUUUAUAAAGACUUAUUUUUCUUGUAACUGAUGUAAUUAUAGACUUUAUAAAAUGAAUUAAACUAAAGUUCAAUUUAAAAUCUUAACUUUCCCUAUUUAUCUUCAGAUUAUGAAUUGGAUAUGCCUCCUGUUAGAUGCUAAUUUUACUGUUGUGGUAAUGGUACCCAAAGCAAAAAGGCUACUGACAAACCUUUAUAAGUUUGUCAAAUCUUAGGUUUGUGAUUGAUAUAUACUGAUUGUAUUUGUACUCAAGUAUAUCACCUGAAUUAAAGUUUAUUCUUUUUUUUUUUUUUGAGACAGUCUUGCUUUGUUGCCCAGGCCAGAGUGAGUGCCAUGGCAUCAGCCUAGCUCACAGCAACCUCAAACUCCUGGGCUCAAGCAAUCCUGCUGCCUCAGCCUCCUGAGUAGCUGGGACU
ensembl:lincRNA